rnacentral:lncRNA from 1 species
GUGUCUCUAGUGAUCCUUGAAAAGUUCCAGCAUAUUUUGGGAGUACUCAACACCAACAUCGAUGGGUGGUGGAAAAUAGCCUUUGCUAUCACUGCCAUUAAAGGUGUGGAUGGAAGAUACGCUUAUGUGGUGUUGAGGAAAACAGACAUUGACCUCACCAAGAGGGCGGGAGACUCACGGAGGAUGAGAUGGAAUGAGUGAUCACCAUUGUGCAGAAUCCACAGCAGUACAAGAUCCCAGACUGGCUCUUGAACAGACAGAAGGAUGUAAAGGAUGGAAAAUAUAGCCAGGUCCUAGCCAGUGGUCUGGACAACAAGCUCCGUGAAGACCUGGAGCAACCGAAGAAGAUUCCGGCCCAUAGAGGGAUGCACCACUUCUGGGGCCUUCAUGUCUGAGGCCAGCACACCGAGACCAUUGGCCGCCAUGGCCGUACCUGUACCGU